UACAGAGGUCCCAAGCGUUGUUCGGAUUCACUGGGCGUAAAGGGUGCGUAGGUGGUCGGGUAAGUCUGAUGUGAAAUCUCCGAGCCUAACUCGGAAACUGCAUCGGAUACUAUUCGGCUUGAGGGUUGGAGGGGGACUGGAAUACUUGGUGUAGCAGUGAAAUGCGUAGAUAUCAAGUGGAACACCAGUGGCGAAGGCGAGUCCUGGACAACUCCUGACACUGAGGCACGAAAGCUAGGGAGCAAACGGG
rnacentral:rRNA from 1 species